CACUAACCUGAUAACUGCGGAGGCGGGCGCUCCCGGGGGCUCCGGCCUGAUUUACGUCCUUCUCCACCAACCGCAGCGCUGAAACGCCAGGCCGGAGCCAAUGGGGCGGGCAAGGGGAGGUGGAAGCCAAUGGGGGAGCGGCGAAGCCGGCCAGGGGGACAGCCCGGCUGGGAGCGGAGGAUCAUUCCGUGCUAGUGGCUGAUGGGGAAGGAGCCGCGGCGACGGGCUCAGCGGUGGGGAUGGGGCUUCGGCUUCGCUCUGCCUUCUCCCGCCCAGCUCCGCUCCGCUUUCCACCUCCCAUCCCCUCCCUCUGCGCCUGCUGGAUCUUAGGGGAGGGCGUCGAGGUGCCGGGCGGGUGGAGCGGCCCCUAAAAACCGGAGAGCCCGCCCGAGCAAGGGGCGAGCAGCCAGGAAGGGAGGGAAAGGUGUGAAAACAAAGGUUGUCCCCUGGGCAGCGGCUUCACAAAGGAAGGUUUGGUCUGGAAUUCAUUUUCGUGGCACAAGUCUUUUGUAAUGAACUUUUAUCAUGGCAACAAAGUGACUCUGAGUAUUGUUUAAGCAAGAUGUAAUAUUAAAAGAUUUUGAGGCUACAAA